GCCUCCGUGGCUAAGCCGGGAAAACAUCCGACCAUGGUGCGGUAAGAUUCGGGUUCGAGCACCGAUGAAGGCA